GACGAACGCUGGCGGCGUGCUUAACACAUGCAAGUCGAACGGUAAGGCCCUUCGGGGUACAAGAGUGGCGAACGGGUGAGUAACACGUGGGUGAUCUGCCCUGCACUUCGGGAUAAGCCUGGGAAACUGGGUCUAAUACCGGAUAGGACCCUGGGAUGCAUGUCCUGGGGUGGAAAGCUUUUGCGGUAUGGGAUGGGCCCGCGGCCUAUCAGCUUGUUGGUGGGGUGAUGGCCUACCAAGGCGACGACGGGUAGCCGGCCUGAGAGGGUGACCGGCCGCACUGGGACUGAGAUACGGCCCAGACUCCUACGGGAGGCAGCAGUGGGGAAUAUUGCACAAUGGGCGCAAGCCUGAUGCAGCGACGCCGCGUGAGGGAUGACGGCCUUCGGGUUGUAAACCUCUUUCAGCACCGACGAAGCGCAAGUGACGGUAGGUGCAGAAGAAGGACCGGCCAACUACGUGCCAGCAGCCGCCGUAA
rnacentral:rRNA from 1 species